rnacentral:rRNA from 1 species
UUAAGCGACUAAGCGUACACGGUGGAUGCCCUGGCAGUCAGAGGCGAUGAAGGACGUGCUAAUCUGCGAAAAGCGUCGGUAAGGUGAUAUGAACCGUUAUAACCGGCGAUGUCCGAAUGGGGAAACCCAGUGUGAUUCGUCACACUAUCGUUAACUGAAUACAUAGGUUAACGAGGCGAACCGGGGGAACUGAAACAUCUAAGUACCCCGAGGAAAAGAAAUCAACCGAGAUUCCCCCAGUAGCGGCGAGCGAACGGGGAGCAGCCCAGAGUCUGAAUCAGCUUGUGUGUUAGUGGAACGGUCUGGAAAGUCCGACGGUACAGGGUGAUAGUCCCGUACACCAAAAUGCACAGGCUGUGAACUCGAAGAGUAGGGCGGGACACGUGGUAUCCUGUCUGAAUAUGGGGGGACCAUCCUCCAAGGCUAAAUACUCCUGACUGACCGAUAGUGAACCAGUACCGUGAGGGAAAGGCGAAAAGAACCCCGGCGAGGGGAGUGAAAAAGAACCUGAAACCGUGUACGUACAAGCAGUGGGAGCACCUUCGGGUGUGACUGCGUACCUUUUGUAUAAUGGGUCAGCGACUUAUAUUCUGUAGCAAGGUUAACCGUAUAGGGGAGCCGCAGGGAAACCGAGUCUUAACUGGGCGUUAAGUUGCAGGGUAUAGACCCGAAACCCGGUGAUCUAGCCAUGGGCAGGUUGAAGGUUGGGUAACACUAACUGGAGGACCGAACCGACUAAUGUUGAAAAAUUAGCGGAUGACUUGUGGCUGGGGGUGAAAGGCCAAUCAAACCGGGAGAUAGCUGGUUCUCCCCGAAAGCUAUUUAGGUAGCGCCUCGUGAAUUCAUCUUCGGGGGUAGAGCACUGUUUCGGCUAGGGGGUCAUCCCGACUUACCAACCCGAUGCAAACUACGAAUACCGAAGAAUGUUAUCACGGGAGACACACGGCGGGUGCUAACGUCCGUCGUGAAGAGGGAAACAACCCAGACCGCCAGCUAAGGUCCCAAAGUCAUGGUUAAGUGGGAAACGAUGUGGGAAGGCACAGACAGCCAGGAUGUUGGCUUAGAAGCAGCCAUCAUUUAAAGAAAGCGUAAUAGCUCACUGGUCGAGUCGGCCUGCGCGGAAGAUGUAACGGGGCUAAACCAUGCACCGAAGCUGCGGCAGCGACACUAUGUGUUGUUGGGUAGGGGAGCGUUCUGUAAGCCUGCGAAGGUGACCUGUGAGGGUUGCUGGAGGUAUCAGAAGUGCGAAUGCUGACAUAAGUAACGAUAAAGCGGGUGAAAAGCCCGCUCGCCGGAAGACCAAGGGUUCCUGUCCAACGUUAAUCGGGGCAGGGUGAGUCGACCCCUAAGGCGAGGCCGAAAGGCGUAGUCGAUGGGAAACAGGUUAAUAUUCCUGUACUUGGUGUUACUGCGAAGGGGGGACGGAGAAGGCUAUGUUAGCCGGGCGACGGUUGUCCCGGUUUAAGCAUGUAGGCUGGUUAUCCAGGCAAAUCCGGAUAAUCAAGGCUGAGGUGUGAUGACGAGGCACUACGGUGCUGAAGUAACAAAUGCCCUGCUUCCAGGAAAAGCCUCUAAGCAUCAGGUAACAUUAAAUCGUACCCCAAACCGACACAGGUGGUCAGGUAGAGAAUACCAAGGCGCUUGAGAGAACUCGGGUGAAGGAACUAGGCAAAAUGGUGCCGUAACUUCGGGAGAAGGCACGCUGGUGUGUAGGUGAAGCCCCUGCGGGUGGAGCUGAGACCAGUCGAAGAUACCAGCUGGCUGCAACUGUUUAUUAAAAACACAGCACUGUGCAAACACGAAAGUGGACGUAUACGGUGUGACGCCUGCCCGGUGCCGGAAGGUUAAUUGAUGGGGUUAUCCGUAAGGAGAAGCUCUUGAUCGAAGCCCCGGUAAACGGCGGCCGUAACUAUAACGGUCCUAAGGUAGCGAAAUUCCUUGUCGGGUAAGUUCCGACCUGCACGAAUGGCGUAAUGAUGGCCAGGCUGUCUCCACCCGAGACUCAGUGAAAUUGAACUCGCUGUGAAGAUGCAGUGUACCCGCGGCAAGACGGAAAGACCCCGUGAACCUUUACUAUAGCUUGACACUGAACAUUGAGCCUUGAUGUGUAGGAUAGGUGGGAGGCUUUGAAGCGUGGACGCCAGUCUGCGUGGAGCCAACCUUGAAAUACCACCCUUUAAUGUUUGAUGUUCUAACGUUGGCCCCUGACCGGGGUUGCGGACAGUGUCUGGUGGGUAGUUUGACUGGGGCGGUCUCCUCCCAAAGCGUAACGGAGGAGCACGAAGGUUAGCUAAUCCUGGUCGGACAUCAGGAGGUUAGUGCAAUGGCAUAAGCUAGCUUGACUGCGAGCGUGACGGCGCGAGCAGGUGCGAAAGCAGGUCAUAGUGAUCCGGUGGUUCUGAAUGGAAGGGCCAUCGCUCAACGGAUAAAAGGUACUCCGGGGAUAACAGGCUGAUACCGCCCAAGAGUUCAUAUCGACGGCGGUGUUUGGCACCUCGAUGUCGGCUCAUCACAUCCUGGGGCUGAAGUAGGUCCCAAGGGUAUGGCUGUUCGCCAUUUAAAGUGGUACGCGAGCUGGGUUUAGAACGUCGUGAGACAGUUCGGUCCCUAUCUGCCGUGGGCGCUGGAGAAUUGAGGGGGGCUGCUCCUAGUACGAGAGGACCGGAGUGGACGCAUCACUGGUGUUCGGGUUGUCAUGCCAAUGGCACUGCCCGGUAGCUAAAUGCGGAAGAGAUAAGUGCUGAAAGCAUCUAAGCACGAAACUUGCCCCGAGAUGAGUUCUCCCUGAGACUUUAAGUCUCCUGAAGGAACGUUGAAGACGACGACGUUGAUAGGCCGGGUGUGUAAGCGCAGCGAUGCGUUGAGCUAACCGGUACUAAUGAACCGUGAGGCUUAACCU